CUCUAGAGAAAGCGGAUGGCGGUGUGGACCGGUUUUAUUGAGAUUCCUCUCGGUCUCACACGCAGCCUAUCUAGGCCCCGUCUCUCUAACGGCCUGGUAUCGAUCACGCCUUCCAUGGCUCAGCGACGCAGGUUCGGGCUCCAGGACUGCAGUUUGCGUAUGGGAAGACCCAAAGGAGAAGUUAGCUGCAGCCGCUUUCAUUAUCGAAUGCUUUAUUAGUGCCAGGCUCUUGGAUAAUUGCUUGGUACUUAAUUCUCAGGAUAAUUUUGUAAGAUGAAGAAACUGCUUACACUUGGCCAAGAUCACAUAAGUAGGAAGUGGGGGAUUAGAACCCACUCUGACUCCAGAUUAAUACAGUUUGUAGUCCAAAUAGGCGACAUAGGCUAAUGGUAAAGGUUUCAUUUGUUGCUGUUUUAUAUGAAUAAAUUCACUGAAGGUCAGCACAUCCUUAAUGGAUACACAAAUGGUAGGAAGGAUCAGAAAAGAAAAGAGAAUCAGAAAAAAUAAAGUCUCCCAUAAUAAACUUAAAAGGAAUU